rnacentral:rRNA from 1 species
CUUGCUGCUUUGAGACCGGCGCACGGGUGCGUAACGCGUAUGCAAUCUACCUUGUACAGGGGGAUAGCCCAGAGAAAUUUGGAUUAAUACCCCAUGGUGUUUAAGAGUGGCAUCACUUUUUUACUAAAGUUCCAACGGUACAAGAUGAGCAUGCGUCCCAUUAGCUAGUUGGUAUGGUAACGGCAUACCAAGGCUAUGAUGGGUAGGGGUCCUGAGAGGGAGAUCCCCCACACUGGUACUGAGACACGGACCAGACUCCUACGGGAGGCAGCAGUGAGGAAUAUUGGUCAAUGGUCGCAAGACUGAACCAGCCAUGCCGCGUGCAGGAAGACGGUCCUAUGGAUUGUAAACUGCUUUUAUACAGGAAGAAACCCUCUCACGUGUGGGAGCUUGACGGUACUGUAUGAAUAAGCAUCGGCUAACUCCGUGCCAGCAGCCGCGGUAAUACGGAGGAUGCGAGCGUUAUCCGGAAUCAUUGGGUUUAAAGGGUCCGUAGGCGGUUUAAUAAGUCAGUGGUGAAAUCUGGUCGCUCAACGAUCAAACUGCCAUUGAUACUGUUAGACUUGAAUAAUUGUGAAGUAACUAGAAUAUGUAGUGUAGCGGUGAAAUGCUUAGAUAUUACAUGGAAUACCAAUUGCGAAGGCAGGUUACUAACAAUUUAUUGACGCUGAUGGACGAAAGCGUGGGGAGCGAACAGGAUUAGAUACCCUGGUAGUCCACGCCGUAAACGAUGGAUACUAGCUGUUCGGCGCAAGUUGAGUGGCUAAGCGAAAGUGAUAAGUAUCCCACCUGGGGAGUACGCACGCAA